CGUGUCUCUCGUACAGUAAUAUGUGGCCGUGUCCUCGGUCUUGAGGUUGUUCAUCUGCAGAGACACCGUGUUCUUGGCGUUGUCUCUGGAGAUGGUGAAUCGGCCCUUCACGGAGUCUGCGUAGAUUGUGCAGAUGGGAAGAG